AUUAUAUUUCAUUGAUGUACAUAAUUAGUUAUUCCAAUUAAACUACAUAUGGCAGCCUACACAUAUUGUGUAAUGAACUAUCACUAGCAAACUUUAAAAAAGUUUACCUAAUACAUAGCUCAAGAGUGUUAACUUUUAGCAUUCAAAUUCUCACAACACCAAUGUCCUAUAUUAUACCAGCUAGGAAACUAGGCCAUAGAAAAUAAGUAAAAGGGGUGGCAAAAGAUGGUGCCAGCAGUCGCGGUUAUACCAAUACCCCAAGCUAAUUUUAACAAAUCGGAGUAGUUUAUCCCCUAAGACUACAAAAUUAACUUUUAGUGUAAAAAACAAAUUAUAACUAAACCCAAUCUAGCCAUAAAUAAACUAUUCCAACAAACCAUAACCUCAGAACUCGGAUUAGAUACCCGACUACUGUAUGGCCCAACACAUAAAAGAAUACUACGAGCGAAAGCUUAAAACUCAAACAAUGUGGCGGUGCUUUACUCCUCAUCAGGGGAUCCUGUGGCUUAAUUCGAUAAUCCACGAAGAUCUUAGCUACUCUUGUUUACAGCUUGUGUAUGGCCGUUUAUGCUUGCUCAUAGAAGAAAAAAAAGGAAGCAAUAGGACUAAUUACCCAAAAAUUCAGGUGACAUACAGCCAAUGAGUAGCAGAUCCAUGGGAUACAAAUAAACAUACUACCAGAUUUUAAAACCUAAAACUUUAAUGAAGGAGGACUUGAAAGUAAGAUUUAUCCUUAUAUAAUAUAGAUCUGGACAAGAACUAAAGCGCGCACAAAUCGCCCGUCACUCCGACAAUAAAGUCGGAUAAGUCGUAACAUAGUAGGGGUAAUGGAAAUUGCCCCUAUCACA
rnacentral:ncRNA from 1 species